GCCAUGCAUGUCUAGUACAGCUCGGUGGGGUAACCUACCGGGUGAAACCGCAGACGGCUCAUUAAAUCAGUUGUGGUCUAAGUGGGCGACAGUUUCCUUAUUUGGAUAACUGUGGAAAAUCCAGAGCUAAUACAUGCAACUUAAGUCCUGAGCCAAAGCCCUUGUGGUGAUUAACUCGGGAUGCUUUUAUUAGACCGAGGCGCGCGCACACGUGAUUUAGCUCUGUGCUUCGGUGCAGUAGCGGUCACUUGUGUGACAUUGUAAGUGCUUAAAGGUGACUCUGGAUAACACCGAUAAGCGUGCCUUAACUGGCACGCUGCCUACUUACGAGUGACUGCCCUAUCAGCUAAAACGUAUGUUAUACGCGAACGUUGGCUAUAACGGGUAACGGGGAAUCAGAGUUCGAUUCCGGAGAGGCAGCCUGAGAAACGGCUACCACGUCUAAGGACGGCAGCAGGCACGCAAAUUACCCAAUCCCAGCAUAUGGGGGAGGUAGUGACGAUAGAUACUGAUGCGGGUCGUUCUUCGGAACACUCGCAAUUGGAAUGGCUAUUUUCUAAACACCCUAACGAGAACCUACUGGAGGGCAAGCCUGGUGCCAGCAGCCGCGGUAAUUCCAGCUCCAGUGGCGUAUGCCAAUGUUGCUGCGGUUAAAAGGCUCGCAGUUGAAUGUCAGUUAAUAUACGCGUAGAGGUGCCGGGACGUUGCAAGCUUCGGUUUUCGGACCUUAGUGAGCCGUCUCUCCAAGUGCAUCUCUCGCGGGCUAACAAUUCGAUUAGCAGGUUAAGAGUUGUGAUGGUUCGCUGUUACUUCUCUGUCCCGCUAGUUGACACCUUGAGUAAAUCAGAGUGCUUAAAGCAGUCGUUGCAACACUACGGCUGCGACUACCCUCGCGGGCAAGUCGUAUGUCUGGUGACGGCGAAAGCCGUUUGGACAUUGUCUUUGCUUUGCAUGGUACGUCGGAAGACGCCGUGUAAGUUGGUUGCGCUUACGGUGUGUCACACCUCGUGUGUGCGCGUGCACCAACGAGCACGGAAUGAUAUGAAAGGGAUGGAUCGAAGGCAUUGGUAUUGCGAGGCGAGAGGUGAAAUUCUAUGACCCCCGCAAGACUACCCGAAGCGAAAGCGUCUGCCUAGGACGUCUUCAUUAAUCAUGAACGAAAGUUGAAGGAUCGAAGGCGAUCAGAUACCGCCCUAGUUGCAACUGUAAACGAUAUCAACCAUCAAUCCGUCAAAGCGUUCCCUUGCGCUCACGGAGGCGAGUCCGCUCUCUUCGUGAGCUAAGUGUAAGCGCUCGAUGGGCAGCUCUUUUCGGACGGAAAACCAGAGUGUUUCGGUUCCGGGGGGAGUCUGGUUGCAAAGCUGAAACUUAAAGGAAUGACNNAAAGC
rnacentral:rRNA from 1 species